GGGUGGGUAGUCCAAUUUGGUAGGAUGCAAGGCUGUUGACCUUGGGACACUGGUUCGAGUCCAGUCCCACCCG
rnacentral:tRNA from 1 species